CCUACGAGUGGCUGCAGUGAGGAAUAUUGGUCAAUGGACGAGAGUCUGAACCAGCCAAGUAGCGUGCAGGAUGACUGCCCUAUGGGUUGUAAACUUCUUUUAUAUGGGAAUAAAAUGUUCCACGUGUGGGAUUUUGUAUGUACCAUAUGAAUAAGGAUCGGCUAACUCCGUGCCAUCAGCCGCGGUAAUACGGAGGAUCCGAGCGUUAUCCGGAUUUAUUGGGUUUAACGGGAGCGUAGGUGGCGUGUUAAGUCAGUUGUGAAAGUUUGAGGCUCAACCGUAAAAUUGCAGUUGAAACUGGCAGUCUUGAGUACAGUAGAGGUGGGCGGAAUUCGUGGUGUAGCGGUGAAAUGCUUAGAUAUCACGAAGAACUCCGAUUGCGAAGGCAGCUCACUGGACUGCAACUGACACUGAGGCUCGAAAGUGUGGGUAUCAAACAGGAUUAGAUACCCGAGUAGUC
rnacentral:rRNA from 1 species